GAUUAUGCUCAAAGGAGGAUAUACAGAAUUUGUCCAUGCGGAGGUUGCAUAUGUACAGGUUGGCCUCGCGGAUCACAGAAUGCGUUAAUUGAUGUAUUUUACAAAAGAAAAGCAUCAGGUAAAGGACAAUUGAGGUGUUAAGAGGUUUUGUUUUUCCCAUCCAUGCCUCGAGGCCCUGAAACCUACAGAAAUUUCAGCCAAAAUGUCAAAUGGCUGUAAAAUGCAUCCCUCUCUCUUUCUCAACUUAAAGGUAUCAAUGGAACUCUCUCUCUCUAUCUCUCUAAGGUAUCAAUGAAACUCUCUCUCUCUGAACUCAAAGGUAUCAAUGAAUCUCUCUCUCACUCUCUCUGAACUCAAAGGCAUCAAUGAAACUCUCUCCCUCUCUCUUGACUUUAUAGAGACACUGGGAUAUGUGAUGAAACUCUCUCCCUCUCUUUUGACUUUGUAGAGACACUGGGAUAUGUGAUGAAACUCUCUCCCUCUCUCUUGCCUUUGUAGAGACACUGGGAUAUGUGAUGUGGAAGAUGUGAUGCGGAAGGAAGAAUGCUGAACCCAAAGAUAAGUGUAAAUUUCAUUCCUCAAGCUAGCAAGACCCUGCAUUUAUGAAAUGGAACUGAAAAAUAAUGUAAGAACACAUAUCAAAACGUGUUACAUGAACCACAGGAAAGGUUCCUUCCAAAUACUGCUACAACCCACCCAAGCCAUAUAUUAUCUGGGGGCAACUCAGAGAGAGAGAGAACCAGAUGUCAAUGGGUUAUGACAGAGGAGAGGAGGGUGGGGGCUAUGAGCAUGAGAGAACGGUGGAUAAAGACUUUCUUUUUUUUUUUUGGAGGGGGGUAGGAGGGGAG
rnacentral:lncRNA from 1 species